AGUUCGAUCAUGGCUCAGAUUGAACGCUGGCGGGAUGCUUUACACAUGCAAGUCAGGCAGCGGCACGGACUUCGGUCUGGUGGCGGUGGCGGGCUGGGUGAAGUAAUGUAUCGGAACGUGCCUAAUGGCGGGGGAUAACUACGCGAAAGCGCUAUCCCUAUACGCCCUUCGGGGAAAGCGAAGUUCUUCGGGCUCACUGCGUGGGAGAGCGGCCGAUAUCCGGAUUAGCUGGUUGGUGGGGUAACGGCUGCAAGGCGACGAUCGUAGCUGGUUUGAGAGGACGACCAGCCACACUGGGACUAGAGACACGGCCAGACUCUAAGGAGGCAGCGGUGAAUUUGGACAAUGGGGAAACCCUGAUCCAACCAUCCCGCGUGUGCGAUGAAGGCCUUCGGGUUGUAAAGCACUUUUGGCAGGAGAAAACGGCACGGAUCAAUACCCGUGCAACUGACGGUACCUGCAGAAUAAGCACCGGCUAACUACGUACGCGUUACCAGCAGCCGCGGUAAUACGUAAGUGCAAGCGUUAAUCGGAAUUACUGGGCGUAAAGCGUGCGCAGGCGGUUCGGAAAGAAAGAUGUGAAAUCCCAGAGCUUAACUUUUUGGAACUACCAUUUUUUUAACUACUGACUAGAGUGUGUCAGAGGAGGUGGAAUUCCGCGUGUAGCAGUGAAAUGCGUAGAUAUGCGGAAGGAACACCGAUGGCGAAGGCAGCCUCCUGGGAUAACACUGACGCUCAUGCGAAAGCGUGGGAGCAAACAGGAUUAGAUACCCUGGUAGUCCACGCCCUAAGCUGAUCCUCGCUUCGCUGUUGGGGCCUUCGGGCCUUGGUAGCCGCUAACGCGUGAAGUUGACCGCCUGGGAGGCCGGUCGCAAGAUUAAAACUCAAAGGAAUUGACGAGGGACCCGCACAAGCGGUGGAUGAUGUGGAUUAAUUCGAUGCAACGCGAAAAACCUUACCUACCACCGACAUGUCUGGAAUCCCGAAGAGAUUUGGGAGUGCUCGCAAGAGAACCGGAACACAGGUGCUGCAUGACUGUCGUCAGCUCGUGUCGUGAGAUGUUGGGUUAAGUCCCGCAACGAGCGCAACCCUUGUCGUGGAUUGCUACGAAAGGGCACUCGUGAGACUGCCGGUGACAAACUUGGAAGGUGAGGAUGACGUCAAGUCCUCAUGGCCCUUAUGGGUAGGGCUUCACACGUCAUACAAUGGUCGGGACAGAGGGUCGCCAACCCGCGAGGGGAGCCAAUCCCAGAAACCCGAUCGUAGUCCGGAUCGCAGUCUGCAACUCGACUGCGUGAAGUCGGAAUCGCUAGUAAUCGCGGAUCAGCAUGUCGCGGUGAAUACGUUCCCGGGUCUUGUACACACCGCCCGUCACCAUGGGAGUGGGUUUACCAGAAGUAGUUAAGCCUAACCGUAAGGAGGGCAAUUCUACGGUAGGAUUCAUGACUGGGGUGAUAAAUAUAAGUAG
rnacentral:rRNA from 1 species